rnacentral:rRNA from 1 species
GUCCACGCUGUAAACGUUGGGCACUAGGUGUGGGACUCUAUCGACGGGUUCCGUGCCGUAGCUAACGCAUUAAGUGCCCCGCCUGGGGAGUACGGCCGCAAGGCUAAAACUCAAAGGAAUUGACGGGGGCCCGCACAAGCGGCGGAGCAUGUGGCUUAAUUCGAUGCAACGCGAAGAACCUUACCUGGGCUUGACAUUUAGGGAAAAGCCGUAGAAAUACGGUGUCCUUCGGGCCCGUAAACAGGUGGUGCAUGGCUGUCGU